rnacentral:rRNA from 1 species
UACGUAGGAGACGAGCGUUGUCCGGAGUUACUGGGCGUAAAGGGUGCGCAGGUGGCCGCGCACGUGGGGAGUGAAAUCGCCUGGCUUAACUGGGCGGGGGCUUUCCAGACGGCGUGGCUUGAGCAGCGGAGGGGGGCGUGGAAUUCCGGGUGGAGCGGUGAAAUGCGUAGAGAUCCGGAGGAACACCGACGGCGUAGGCAGCGCCCUGGCCGCUUUAAGCUGACACUGAGGCACGAAAGCUGGGGGAGCAAACAGG